AAUAAAUCUAACCACAAUGAAGAAGUACAGCUAAUUGAUUUUCUUGGACAAGGACUUAAGCCCAAUGAUUCAUAUGAAGAUAAUCUAGACCCAAUGGAAAUUGAUGAAAAUAGGGAGAAUUACAUCAAGUUUUUAUAGUAAAUAGUUUUAUUUGUAAUCGCCAAUCUUAUCAGAUAAUGUUAAAAUAAUAAUCUUUUAUUGAAUGUAAGAAUAAAACGAUUUAUUUAUGCUUUGA